rnacentral:rRNA from 1 species
AUGCACCGAAGCUGCGGCAGCGACACAAAGUGUUGUUGGGUAGGGGAGCGUUCUGUAAGCCUGCGAAGGUGUACUGUGAGGUAUGCUGGAGGUAUCAGAAGUGCGAAUGCUGACAUAAGUAACGAUAAUGCGGGUGAAAAACCCGCACGCCGGAAGACCAAGGGUUCCUGUCCAACGUUAAUCGGGGCAGGGUGAGUCGACCCCUAAGGCGAGGCUGAAAAGCGUAGUCGAUGGGAAACGGGUUAAUAUUCCCGUACUGGUGGUAACUGCGAUGGGGGAACGGAGAAGGCUAGGUUGUCCGGGCGACGGUCGUCCCGGUUCAAGCAGGUAGGCAGAGUGAUUAGGCAAAUCCGGUCACUUAAUGC